UACGGAGGGUGCGAGCGUUGUCCGGAAUCACUGGGCGUAAAGGGCGCGUAGGCGGCGCGGGAAGUCAUCGGUGAAAGUUCAGGGCUCAACUCUGAAUCGGCCGGUGAUACUCUCGUGCUCGAGCACUGUAGAGGCAGGUGGAAUUCCGGGUGUAGCGGUGGAAUGCGUAGAGAUCCGGAAGAACACCGGUGGCGAAGGCGGCCUGCUGGGCAGUAGCUGACGCUGAUGCGCGACAGCGUGGGGGAGCAAACAGG
rnacentral:rRNA from 1 species